rnacentral:lncRNA from 1 species
UAAAAACUAAACUCUAAAACCUGAACUCUAAAUCCUAAACACUAAACCAAAUCCCUAAACCAUAAACCCUAAACACUAAACACUAAAAUCAAAAACCCUAAAACCUAAACCCUAAACUCCAAACCCUUAAACCUUAAACCCUAAACCCUAAAGACUAAACUCUAAACCCACCUUAAACCCUAAACCCUAAAUACUGAACACCUAAAACCAAAACCCUAAACUCUAAACACUAAAAUUUAAAACCUAAAACCUAAACACUAAACCCUUAACACUAAAAUAUAACCCUUAAACCUAAACACUAAACUUAAAACCC